rnacentral:lncRNA from 1 species
GUUGAGAAGAAUGUUCCUGCUACUUUUGGAAACCCCUUUUGGUCAUUUGUUUGUGAUUACAAAAUGUUUGGGUUGAUGAUUACGGGAAAAAUGGAUAGAGAGAUCAAGAGGCUUGAGUCAUUUGUUUGUGAUUACAAAAUGUUUGGGUUGAUGAUUACGGGAAAAAUGGAUAGAGAGAUCAAGAGGCUUGGGAAAAGACCUGUGUUGCAAGUGUUUUGAUUUGUGUGUGUUUGCUUGAUCCUUUUUGUUUGAGGUGAGUUUGCAUCUGAACUUGUGUUUGAGUAUCUGUUUGUUUCAAUAGCCUAUUUUAACCCUUUAUAGAGUAGUUACUUAGUUAGCAGUGGUUGUUAUUGGCUUAUUGAUGGAUGUCGUUGAUCUUGCUGAUAUAUUUGAUCCCGGAUCGAUCAUGCGACCGGUCCAAGCCACUGAUAAGAUUGGAAAUACUAAUGAAAUUUGAUUUAACUUGACUGAUUUGAUAUGGAAACUGAUGACUUGGCGUCAGCCGAGUCACCAGAACAGAUGUCAAUGAUGUUCCACAUUAGAAUCAUACAAUUGAAAAUAAGUUUGUGAAUGUCUAUUCAAAGUAUAGUAUGAAAUGUUGAAGUAUGAUAUGAUCUAUGUUUGGAAUUUGUUAGUAUCAAAUCUACAGUUAUGAAUUUUUUGAUAUUGUUAUGUAUACCAAUUCAACUGGUUCAACUGGUUACAUACCGAUGCCAAUACAGGAAGGCUUGAAAUGCAGAUGGAUUCAUAUGUGGCUGUGCAAUGAGAACGAUGGUGUUGUAUAGUGUUCAAAAUUUUAUAGUAUGAUAUGAAUCAUAACACCACUUUGAAAUUGUAACAAAAGAGUAAUCUUUUUAUGGUGUGUUCUGUCUAAUGCAAUACAUAGCUUACCCUUGCAUUCUCAGACAACUUUUUCUUUACCAAAAAAUAUAUCUUUCUUGAAAACCAUUAUUGAGAUGAUCUUACAGGUCUUUAUUUGUGUAUCUUUUCCAUAAAUGAAGCCCUCAAUUUCUCUUAUAAAAUGGAGAGUAACAUGAACCUUUGAAACUCAAAUGAGCAACUUGAGGAAAAUUCGAUGUAGUAACUUGAAUAAAUUCAUCUUAACAUAGCUUACACUAAAGAGGUAAAUGCAAAAUAAAUUCCACAUUGUAGAUAAUCAAAUGCUUGUUAGAACUUCCCCAAUUUAAUAUUCACAUACAGGGAAUGUUCUUACCAAUGUAAUGAAAACUUGAAUCUGGUAAACUACCCUUUCAGCAACUUUUUUUGGGUAUGGAUUAUGGUUUUCAUGUUUUUGUGAAUGUGUAUAAACAUAUAUGAAAUUGUCAUUUUUCCCUUUGAUAGGAUCUUAUGUGCCGUGUUAACGAUCAGAGUUACGAUCUUUCACAAGCCGACCAAUCUUAUUUAAGAUCUCGAACUUAACUAC